rnacentral:rRNA from 1 species
UGGGGAAUUUUGGACAAUGGGCGCAAGCCUGAUCCAGCCAUGCCGCGUGCGGGAAGAAGGCCUUCGGGUUGUAAACCGCUUUUGUCAGGGAAGAAAUCUUCUGAGUUAAUACCUCGGGAGGAUGACGGUACCUGAAGAAUAAGCACCGGCUAACUACGUGCCAGCAGCCGCGGUAAUACGUAGGGUGCAAGCGUUAAUCGGAAUUACUGGGCGUAAAGCGUGCGCAGGCGGUUUUGUAAGACAGAGGUGAAAUCCCCGGGCUCAACCUGGGAACUGCCUUUGUGACUGCAAGGCUUGAGUGCGGCAGAGGGGGAUGGAAUUCCGCGUGUAGCAGUGAAAUGCGUAGAUAUGCGGAGGAACACCGAUGGCGAAGGCAAUCCCCUGGGCCUGCACUGACGCUCAUGCACGAAAGCGUGGGGAGCAAACAGGAUUAGAUACCCUGGUAGUCCACGCCCUAAACGAUGUCAACUGGUUGUUGGGAAGGUUCCUUCUCAGUAACGUAGCUAACGCGUGAAGUUGACCGCCUGGGGAGUACGGCCGCAAGGUUGAAACUCAAAUGAAUUGACGAGGUCAUAGCUGUUUCCU